GUUUGGUAGGGGGGUGCGACCUUUCCAUCUCUGUGUCCAGGGAGGGGGGUGUGGCCUUUCCAUCUCUAUGUCUUCGGGGUGUGUGGCCUUUCCAUCUCUAUGUCUUGGGGGUGUGUGGCCUUUCCGUCUCUGUGUCUGGGGAGUGCAGUUGUUCCAUCCUGUGCCUUGUCUGAGUCCUCUUGACAGCUGCAACCUGGAAGCCACUUCCAGGUGUGUCGGGAGUUGGUUCCUUCCAGUGGGUUCGUGGUCUUGCUGACUUCAAGAAUGGAACUGCGGAUCUUCGUGGUGAGUGUUACAGCUCUUAAAGAUGGCAUGGACCCAAAGAGUGAGCAGCAGCAAAAGUUAUUGUGAACAGCAGAGGGUCACCACUGCUGGCUGGGUGGCGGAGGGGGUUGUGUGUGUGUGUUGGAAGGGGCAGCUUUUAUUCCCUUAUUUGUCCCUGCCCAUGUCCCGCUGACUGGUCCAUUUUACAGGGUGUUGAUUGGUCCAUUUUACAGUGUGCUGAUUGGCCCAUUUUAAACACUUCUAGCUAGCUACAGAGCAUUGAUUGGUGCAUUUUUACAGAGCCCUGAUUGGUGCAUUUUACAAACCUCUAGCUAGCUACACAAAAGUUCUCCAAGUCCCCACUCGACCCAGGAAGUCCAGCUGGCUUCAGCUCUCACAGGUCUUGCAGCUGAAACACGAGCAUCUCUGCCGGGCGUGGUGGCUCAUGACUGUAAUCCCAGCACUUUGGGAGGCUGAGGCAGGCAGAUCACCUGAGGUCAGGAGUUCGAGACCAGCCUGGCCAACAUAGUGAAACCCUGUAUCUACUAAAAAUACAAAAAGUAGCUGGGUACGAUGUUGUGUGUCUGUAAUUCCAGCUACUCA
rnacentral:lncRNA from 10 species